rnacentral:sRNA from 1 species
AUUAUAUAACUAAUAUAUAUUAAAAUACUAAUAUUUUUCUUUUUUGAGAAACCAAGAAGGUAUCUCACUGAUGGAGAUACCCUUAGUUGUCAUCAAUCAUCAUCAUCUAUAUUGCAUACAGUGUAAAAAGUUCAUAUUAAAUCUACUAAAAUAAAGGGUAAAAGUAAGAUUCAAUGAGUGAGCCAUUUAUGAUUUAAGAAAAAAUAAAAUGAAA